UUCAAAUCGCAGGUGAUGUAAGCUUUUAUUGUUAAUAUUAACCGUCAGGUGUUCUUACAUUAAAGGUCCAAUAUGUAGAAUUUAAUUACAAUGUUUACGUUGAAAUAUCUAAAUCAAUAAAAAAUUGAUUAAAUUGAUUAGCAGAGAGAACUCACGAUUCCCUGCCAGCACCAACGUCAUCUUUUAUUAUUGUUUUGAUUGAGCGCCCCCCGGUGGUGGAAUCUGCAUACUGUGCCUUUAAUACAUCUGAAUUCUGCAUUUGUUUUAGAUGUGUUGCUUCUGAACAUUUUGCAUACUUAGGCAACUUUAAUGCUUAAAGAUGAUGCUGAAAUCAGUUUAUUGGCUAAGGGGGGAAAGGGUUAAUGGCUGCAACAAUACAAAUAAUGACAGAUUGUAAUAACGAUUACAUACAUGACAAUUACAAACAUAAGGCUUAUUCUUAAUAUUCAGUAUAAUGAACUUUUUUUACACUGAUUGUCUCUCUCAGGAAAGCCAACUCCUGCGAUAACUGAAGAAUCGGUUUACUCUGAAGUCAAACCAGAUCAAUAAAGUUCUGUAUCUAUAGACAUAAGGAAUGGAUGGCAGCGUGAAAAAAAAAAUCUUGGCUUGAUUAGCAUUUGCAGCUGUCAUGUGAUAAUUUUGUGCUCGUGCUUGUAAAU